UACGAAGGGUGCAAACGUUGCUCGGAAUUAUUGGGCGUAAAGCGCACGUAGGCGGCUUGGCAAGUCGGAUGUGAAAGCCCUCGGCUCAACCAAGGAAGUGCAUCCGAAACUGCUGAGCUUGAGUACUGAAGAGGAUCGCGGAAUUCCCGGUGUAGAGGUGAAAUUCGUAGAUAUCGGGAGGAACACCAGUGGCGAAGGCGGCGAUCUGGGCAGACACUGACGCUGAGGUGCGAAAGCGUGGGGAGCAAACAGG
rnacentral:rRNA from 1 species